rnacentral:rRNA from 1 species
CUGCCUCAGGAUUAAAUACCCUGGUAGUUAAGAGGUUGACGAGCGGUGAACGGGAGAGUAACGCGUAGGAAUCUGCCUAGUAGGGGGGGACAACAUGUGGAAACGCAUGCUAAUACCGUAUACGCCCUACGGGGGAAAGGAGGGGAUCUUCGGACCUUUCGCUAUUAGAUGAGCCUGCGUGAGAUUAGCUAGUUGGUGGGGUAAAGGCCUACCAAGGCGACGAUCUCUAGCUGGUCUGAGAGGAUGAUCAGCCACACUGGGACUGAGACACGGCCCAGACUCCUACGGGAGGCAGCAGUGGGGAAUAUUGGACAAUGGGCGCAAGCCUGAUCCAGCCAUGCCGCGUGUGUGAAGAAGGCCUUAGGGUUGUAAAGCACUUUCAGGAGUGAGGAAGGUUACAUAGUUAAUACCUGUGUAAUUUGACGUUAACUCCAGAAGAAGCACCGGCUAACUCUGUGCCAGCAGCCGCGGUAAUACAGAGGGUGCGAGCGUUAAUCGGAAUUACUGGGCGUAAAGCGCGCGUAGGCGGUUUGUUAAGUCGGAUGUGAAAUCCCAGGGCUCAACCUUGGAAUGGCACCCGAUACUGGCAGGCUAGAGUACGGUAGAGGGGUGUGGAAUUUCCUGUGUAGCGGUGCAAUGCGUAGAUAUAG